rnacentral:rRNA from 1 species
AGCGUACACGGUGGAUGCCCUGGCAGUCAGAGGCGAUGAAGGACGUGCUAAUCUGCGAAAAGCGUCGGUAAGGUGAUAUGAACCGUUAUAACCGGCGAUGUCCGAAUGGGGAAACCCAGUGCAAUUCGUUGCACUAUCGUUAACUGAAUACAUAGGUUAACGAGGCGAACCGGGGGAACUGAAACAUCUAAGUACCCCGAGGAAAAGAAAUCAACCGAGAUUCCCCCAGUAGCGGCGAGCGAACGGGGAGCAGCCCAGAGUCUGAAUCAGCUUGUGUGUUAGUGGAACGGUCUGGAAAGUCCGACGGUACAGGGUGAUAGUCCCGUACACCAAAAUGCACAGGCUGUGAACUCGAAGAGUAGGGCGGGACACGUGGUAUCCUGUCUGAAUAUGGGGGGACCAUCCUCCAAGGCUAAAUACUCCUGACUGACCGAUAGUGAACCAGUACCGUGAGGGAAAGGCGAAAAGAACCCCGGCGAGGGGAGUGAAAAAGAACCUGAAACCGUGUACGUACAAGCAGUGGGAGCACCUUCGGGUGUGACUGCGUACCUUUUGUAUAAUGGGUCAGCGACUUAUAUUCUGUAGCAAGGUUAACCGUAUAGGGGAGCCGCAGGGAAACCGAGUCUUAACUGGGCGUUAAGUUGCAGGGUAUAGACCC